GAUGAACGCUAGCUACAGGCUUAACACAUGCGAGUCGAGGGGUAGCAGGGUAGCAAUACCGCUGACGACCGGCGCACGGGUGAGUAACACGUAUCCAACCUACCGUUUACUCGGGGAUAGCCUUUCGAAAGAAAGAUUAAUACCCGAUAGUAUAAAGAGUUCGCAUGUUCUCUUUAUUAAAGGAUUCCGGUAAAUGAUGGGGAUGCGUUCCAUUAGAUUGUUGGCGGGGUAACGGCCCACCAAGUCUUCGAUGGAUAGGGGUUCUGAGAGGAAGGUCCCCCACAUUGGAACUGAGACACGGUCCAAACUCCUACGGGAGGCAGCAGUGAGGAAUAUUGGUCAAUGGGCGUUAGCCUGAACCAGCCAAGUAGCGUGAAGGAUGACUGCCCUAUGGGUUGUAAACUUCUUCUAUAAGGGAAUAAAACGGGGAACGUGUUCCCCUUUGCGUGUACCUUACGAAUAAGGAUCGGCUAACUCCGUGCCAGCCGCCGCAGUAA
rnacentral:rRNA from 1 species